AUAAGAGGUCCCGCCUGCCCAGUGACUCUGUUCAACGGCCGCGGUAUCCUAACCGUGCGAAGGUAGCGUAAUCACUUGUUCUUUAAAUAAGGACUAGUAUGAAUGGCACCACGAGGGUUAUACUGUCUCCCCCUUUUAAUCAGUGAAACUAAUCUCCCCGUGAAGAAGCGUGGAUAGCACUAUAAGACGAGAAGACCCUAUGGAGCUUUAAACUAAUUUCCCAACAACCUCACUUCCUUUUCAAGCUUAUGCUUUUAAUAAUCAGCCUGGUUCCAUGGGAAUAAGUUUUAGGUUGGGGUGACCACGGAGUAAAAAAUAACCUCCGAGCUGUAAGGGACGCUCCCCUGAACAACAAGCUACAACUUUAUGUACCAACAUAUUGACACCUAUUGACCCAAUAUUUUGAUCAACGAACCAAGUUACCCUAGGGAUAACAGCGCAAUCCGCUUCAAGAGCUCCUAUCGACAAGCGGGUUUACGACCUCGAUGUUGGAUCAGGGUAUCCCAGUGGUGCAGCCGCUACUAAAGGUUCGUUUGUUCAACGAUUAAAACCCUACGUGA
rnacentral:rRNA from 1 species